rnacentral:rRNA from 1 species
UUCCGGUUGAUCCUGCCGGACCCGACUGCUAUUUGGGUGAGAAUAAGCCAUGCGAGUCGAAUGGGAUUCCUAAAUUUCCCAUGGCAAACUGCUCAGUAACACAUGAUCAACUUACCCUAUAGAGAAAAAUAACCUCGGGAAACUGAGGAUAAUAUUUCAUAAUUGAAUCGGCUUGGGAAAGUUUUUCAAUCAAAAGAAUAAGAAAAAUGGUUCUUAUUCGCUAUAGGAUAGGAUCGUGGACGAUUAUGGUUGUUGGUGAGGUAACGGCUCACCAAGCCGAUAAUCGAUAGGGGCCGUGAGAGCGGGAGCCCCGAGAUGGGUACUGAGACAACGACCCAGGCCUUACGAGGCGCAGCAGGCGCGGAAACUCCGCAAUACACGAAAGUGUGACGGGGUUACCCAAAGUGUUCAAUUUUGAACUGUGGUAGGUGAGUAAUGUUCCCUACUAGAAAGGAGAGGGCAAGGCUGGUGCCAGCCGCCGCGGUAAAACCAGCUCUUCAAGUGGUCGGGAUAAUUAUUGGGCUUAAAGUGUCCGUAGCCGGUUUAGUAAGUUCCUGGUAAAAUCGGGUAGCUUAACUAUCCGUAUGCUAGGAAUACUGCUAUACUAGAGGGCGGGAGAGGUCUGAGGUACUACAGGGGUAGGGGUGAAAUCUUAUAUCCUUGUAGGACCACCAGUGGCGAAAGCGUCAGACUGGAACGCGCCUGACGGUGAGGGACGAAAGCCAGGGGAGCGAACCGGAAUAGAUACCCGGGUAGUCCUGGCCCGUAAACGAUGCAUACUAGGUGAUGCUGCGGCCAUGAGCCGUAAUCAGUGCCGUACGGAAACCGAUUAAGCUGGUGCAGCCUGGGAAGGUACGGAUCGCUAAGGCUAAAUCUU